GAGCUUGUGCAAGAGAAAGAAAACAUCCUCUUUAUGAAAUACAUGUAUUUAUGGUGCUCUGUGCAGGUCCAUGCGCAGGUCACUGCUUUUUCCCGCACAUGGAGGGUGGCAAUUAACAUUCCCAGUCCUCUGUUUUCUUUGUGCUGCAGUCCAUCUUAAUGAUGGCAAAUAAGGUUAAUUAGCUCUCAGCAUCUCCAGCCAACGCAGGCGUGAGAACGCUGAAACCCAGCGGUUGUGAAUUCCAGCGCAGAGAUCAGUCGAACAUCUCCACGAGCAAGCCACUGAAUGACUGUUUGAGCUCAGGCGCCAUAAACAUAAACUUAACAGCUCCCAGUGUGCCGGCCCUGCUGGAGGAUCACUCCUCACCUCCCGGGACUUGUGAAGUGCAGGCGUAGAAGGCAGCUCCCAAGGAGGCGGC